UAAACUUUAAGUUAUUAAAACUAAGAGCCUUCAAAGCUUCAAUAGAGAUUUUUUUCUCAAGUUUAA
rnacentral:tRNA from 1 species